rnacentral:rRNA from 1 species
GAUGAACGCUGGCGGCGUGCUUAACACAUGCAAGUCGAACGGUGAAGCAGGAGCUUGCUCUUGUGGAUCAGUGGCGAACGGGUGAGUAACACGUGAGCAACCUGCCCCAGACUCUGGGAUAAGCGCUGGAAACGGCGUCUAAUACUGGAAUUGUGAUGUGACGGAUGGUCUGGCUUUUGGAAGGAUUUCGGUUGGGGAUGGGCUCGCGGCCUAUCAGCUUGUUGGUGAGGUAAUUGGCUCACCAAGGCGUCGACGGGUAGCCGGCCUGAGAGGGUGACCGGCCACACUGGGACUGAGACACGGCCCAGACUCCUACGGGAGGCAGCAGUGGGGAAUAUUGCACAAUGGGCGGAAGCCUGAUGCAGCAACGCCGCGUGAGGGAUGACGGCCUUCGGGUUGUAAACCUCUUUUAGCAGGGAAGAAGCGAAAGUGACGGUACCUGCAGAAAAAGCACCGGCUAACUACGUGCCAGCAGCCGCCGUAA